rnacentral:rRNA from 1 species
AUUGAACGCUGGCGGCAUGCCUUACACAUGCAAGUCGAACGGCAGCACGGGAGCAAUCCUGGUGGCGAGUGGCGAACGGGUGAGUAAUAUAUCGGAACGUGCCCAGUCGUGGGGAUAACGUAGCGAAAGCUACGCUAAUACCGCAUACGAUCUAUGGAUGAAAGCGGGGGAUCGCAAGACCUCGCGCGAUUGGAGCGGCCGAUAUCAGAUUAGGUAGUUGGUGAGGUAAUGGCUCACCAAGGCGACGAUCCGUAACUGGUCUGAGAGGAUGAUCAGUCACACUGGAACUGAGACACGGUCCAGACUCCUACGGGAGGCAGCAGUGGGGGAAUAUUGGACAAUGGGCGAAAGCCUGAUCCAGCCAUGCCGCGU